UGCAGUCGAACGAUGAAGCCCUUCGGGGUGGAUUAGUGGCGAACGGGUGAGUAACACGUGGGCAAUCUGCCCUUCACUCUGGGACAAGCCCUGGAAACGGGGUCUAAUACCGGAUAACACCGGCUUCCGCAUGGGAGCUGGUUAAAAGCUCCGGCGGUGAAGGAUGAGCCCGCGGCCUAUCAGCUUGUUGGUGGGGUAAUGGCCUACCAAGGCGACGACGGGUAGCCGGCCUGAGAGGGCGACCGGCCACACUGGGACUGAGACACGGCCCAGACUCCUACGGGAGGCAGCAGUGGGGAAUAUUGCACAAUGGGCGAAAGCCUGAUGCAGCGACGCCGCGUGAGGGAUGACGGCCUUCGGGUUGUAAACCUCUUUCAGCAGGGAAGAAGCGAAAGUGACGGUACCUGCAGAAGAAGCGCCGGCUAACUACGUGCCAGCAGCCGCGGUAAUACGUAGGGCGCAAGCGUUGUCCGGAAUUAUUGGGCGUAAAGAGCUCGUAGGCGGCUUGUCACGUCGGGUGUGAAAGCCCGGGGCUUAACCCCGGGUCUGCAUCCGAUACGGGCAGGCUAGAGUGUGGUAGGGGAGAUCGGAAUUCCUGGUGUAGCGGUGAAAUGCGCAGAUAUCAGGAGGAACACCGGUGGCGAAGGCGGAUCUCUGGGCCAUUACUGACGCUGAGGAGCGAAAGCGUGGGGAGCGAACAGGAUUAGAUACCCUGGUAGUCCACGCCGUAUACGUUGGGAACUAGGUGUUGGCGACAUUCCACGUCGUCGGUGCCGCAGCUAACGCAUUAAGUUCCCCGCCUGGGGAGUACGGCCGCAAGGCUAAAACUCAGAGGAAUUGACGGGGGCCCGCACAAGCAGCGGAGCAUGUGGCUUAAUUCGACGCAACGCGAAGAACCUUACCAAGGCUUGACAUAUACCGGAAAGCAUUAGAGAUAGUGCCCCCCUUGUGGUCGGUAUACAGGUGGUGCAUGGCUGUCGUCAGCUCGUGUCGUGAGAUGUUGGGUUAAGUCCCGCAACGAGCGCAACCCUUGUCCUGUGUUGCCAGCAUGCCCUUCGGGGUGAUGGGGACUCACAGGAGACCGCCGGGGUCAACUCGGAGGAAGGUGGGGACGACGUCAAGUCAUCAUGCCCCUUAUGUCUUGGGCUGCACACGUGCUACAAUGGCCGGUACAAAGAGCUGCGAUGCCGUGAGGCGGAGCGAAUCUCAAAAAGCCGGUCUCAGUUCGGAUUGGGGUCUGCAACUCGACCCCAUGAAGUAGGAGUUGCUAGUAAUCGCAGAUCAGCAUUGAUGCGGUGAAUACGUUCCCGGGCCUUGUACACACCGCCCGUCACGUCACGAAAGUCGGUAACACCCGAAGCCGGUGGCCCAACCCCUUGUGGGAGGGAGCU
rnacentral:rRNA from 1 species